rnacentral:misc_RNA from 1 species
GAUGAAGAACGUAGCAAAAUGCGAUAAGUAAUGUGAAUUGCAGAAUUCAGUGAAUCAUCGAAUCUUUGAACGCACAUUGCGCCCGCCAGUAUUCUGGCGGGCAUGCCUGUUCGAGCGUCAUUUCAACCCUCAAGCACAGCUUGGUGUUGGGACUCGCGUUAAUUCGCGUUCCUCAAAUUGAUUGGCGGUCACGUCGAGCUUCCAUAGCGUAGUAGUAAAACCCUCGUUACUGGUAAUCGUCGCGGCCACGCCGUUAAACCCCAACUUCUGAAUGUUGACCUCGGAUCAGGUAGGAAUACCCGCUGAACUUAAGCAUAUCAAAGCGGAGGA